GGCGUUAGUUAUUUUUAGUCUGCUUGGGUCACUCCCGUGUUCAACCAGGAUUGAAAUCACUGUGCUGCCUAAUAACUUCAGGAGGAAGGAAACCGCAGGAGACGUUAACACGGUAAUUUACAUUUGUUUGGAGGAGAAGAUUCACUCAGCGGUGCGAUUCUAUGGAGGCGGUGAGUUGCAAUUUUGCUGCAUGUUGAAUAUGCCCAAGGAAUGUUUUAAACCAGAUAAUGUUUGGGGUGCACUCCCUGGGGCUCUGCCUUCAUCAAUAAGGGGUGAGGACUCUCUGACCCGAGCUUUCAAAUCUCCCUGGGGGUGACCCAGUUUGAGAGCCACUGAAUCAGGGAUGCUCUGGGCCCAGGUCCCCAGGAGAAGCCAAAAGAAGGCAGAUAGGACCAUUGAGUCCAGUGAACUGUUCUGAAGCCUCUUAGGAAUAGUGGGUUGCUGAGUCCUUAGAAGGCACAAAUAUGGCUCAUUUUCACAAUUAUCUUAGACGAAGAAUUCGUGCAUGGACGACAACAAUGUUUUCUGAACUUUGGAACUGUCUGGAGAAUUUGUGGGUAAUUUAAUAACUUGCUUACUCAUAUUUUCUCCCGAGACUGCUUCUGCUUUUGACAACUGGAGCCCACUGUCAGCUCACUGGACGGUGGUGGUUCAGAACUCUUAUCUCAGCUGUGUUUUACCUGGGGGACUUUGGACAAAUCAGCUCAUUGUGCCUUGUUUGGACAGGUUGCUUCCUGGGGAAGCCUGGCCAAUCCCCUGUGUAUACGUGGUUAUAAAAUAAUUUGAUCUUGAGCUCUUGAGAAGGCCCUGAGUGGCCCUGGAAGAUAAGGUGAUUAUCUGGGGCUUCCACAGAAGCCUAAUGACCUUUGCCCAAGUGCCUCAUUUGAAUUCAUUUUCAAGGGCGUUUCGUGGAGUAUUCAGUGCUUACAGCUUCUCACCCUGAUAUAGAGGAGCCCAGGAAGGGCAAGAUAGCAUCCCUGCUCUGGAACCUAAAAUCUGUCUCAGAGACCCUUCUUGGAACAGGAAUUGCAAACAGAAAUGCCAAAGGGACCAGACAAUGAUACCGUGGGAAUCCGGGCGGCCCGCUAAGAGGGGCCGUUGGUUACCUGGGGACUUCAGCUAAGAUGUUCUUUGCACCAAGGGCAUUUCUGGGCUGAAUUAGCCAGCUAGCUUUUGAGGGAUCCAACUUUCAUAAAUCCCACUUGGCUGCCCAGCUUCUCAGGGUUUCCACCCUUGACUAGGCAUGGAAAUUCCUUUAGCACGUG
rnacentral:lncRNA from 1 species